rnacentral:tRNA from 1 species
UGGGUUGUGGCUCAAUGGUAGAGUGCUUGCUUGCCUGGCAUGUGUGAGGCACUGGGUUCAAUUCUCAGCACCACAU